AUUUUGAACAGAACUAUAUCCUAGUAGAUUGUAAAAAGAAGGUAUUAACAAAAUAUUCCUCAGAUCUCUAAAUGACAAAUUGUGUGCGGUAUAGUUUAGUUUCAUCAAAUACUAAACAUAUUUGCCAAAAUUAUUUUGGUUUUAUUGCAGUUAAUAUGAAGCUAUCCUUUCUGAUGGUGGCUAACAGGCUCAGGUAGCAUUUGCAUAUCCUUGAAAGGCAGUAGACAUUUCAGCAAUCUAGAGAUGAAUGCUGUUUUUCCCUAUGUUAUGAUGUAAAGGAAUAGUCCAUUUCCAAGCUCUAUCCAAAUAUAUAAGUUAAAAAGGAAAGGAGGAUUAAACAAAUAUUGAAGAUUAAUUCAGCAUGCCAUCUAAUAGUGUAUAGUGUCAGUCAUGAAAGCUCUGUGAGGACAGGGAUUUUUCUUUUGUGGUUUACUAGUGGAUUGUUUAUGGCCAUCAGACCCAGUAGUUUCUACUUAGAGUAGUGCUUAGCUUGAAGUAGGGUGAAUGGAUAAAAGAAUGCUAAACAGAUUUUUAUUUUCUUUUAGACUUCUCAUCAGUUGAAAUUGGAGUGCAAUUCAAUGCAGGGACAACUAAUGCAGGCCCAGAAGAGUUUAAAACAAAAGGAAAAAGAAGAACAACGACUUCAGGGUAACAGAAAUGAGUUAAAGCAACUGACUGAACAGAAGAAAAAGCAAAUUGAAGCACUCCAAGGAGAGAUUAAAAGAACUUGAGAAUAAACUACAGCAGCAGUCAACA
rnacentral:lncRNA from 1 species